UACGAAGGGGGCUACCGUUGUUCGGAAUCACUGGGCGUAAAGCGCACGCAGGCGGAUCGUUAAGUCAGGGGUGAAAUCCCGAGGCUCAACCUCGGAACUGCCUUUGAUACUGGCGAUCUUUGAGUCCGGGAGAGGUGAGUGGAACUCCGAGUGUAGAGGUGAAAUUCGUAGAUAUUCGGAAGAACACCAGUGGCGAAGGCGGCUCACUGGCCCGGUACUGACGCUCAUGUGCGAAAGCGUGGGGAGCAAACAGG
rnacentral:rRNA from 1 species